UCACAGGCCAAAUCGAGUGUGC
rnacentral:siRNA from 1 species